rnacentral:rRNA from 1 species
GCACAGCAACGGGUGGAGCGUGCGGUUUAAUUGGAUUCAACGCCGGAAAUCUCACCGGAGGCGACGGUCAUAUGAAGGCCAGGUUGAUGACCUUGCCUGAUUUUCCGAGAAGUGGUGCAUGGCCGUCGUCAGUUCGUACCGUAAGGCGUUCUGUUAAGUCAGACAACGAACGAGACCCUCAUCUUUAGUUGCUACUAGUAAGUCCGCUUACUAGGCACACUAGAGAAACCGCUGGCGAUAAGUCAGAGGAAGGUGAGGGCAACGGUAGGUCAGUAUGCCCUGAAUCCUCCGGGCUACACGCGCGCUACAAAGGCUAGGACAAUGGGUUCCUACACCGAAAGGUGACGGUAAUCCCGAAACCUAGUCGUAGUUCGGAUUGAGAAUUGAAACUCAUCCUCAUGAAGCUGGAAUCCGUAGUAAUCGCGGGUCAACAUCCCGCGGUGAAUAUGCCCCUGCUCCUUGCACACACCGCCCGUCAAACCAUGCGAGUUGGGUCUGAGUGAGGAUGUAGUAUUUUGCUGCGUUCAAACUUAGGCUUAGUAAGCGGGGUU